GCUGUGGCUGUGAUGCGUAUUGAUAAGGGAUUUUCUGAGGGAUGGAGACCUGGUUUUCCUCCUCCUGAUUGAGAGAAACCAAUGGAUCCUUCUGAGCCUGCCC
rfam:Oryza brachyantha chromosome 5, whole genome shotgun sequence.